rnacentral:rRNA from 1 species
AUCAACUUUCGAUGGUAGGAUAGAGGCCUACCAUGGUGGUAACGGGUAACGGGGUGUUAGGGCACGACACCGGAGAGGGAGCCUGAGAAACGGCUACCACAUCCAAGGAUGGCAGCAGGCGCGCAAAUUACCCAAUCCCGACACGGGGAGGUAGUGACAAUAAAUAACAAUACGGGGUCCUUUCGGGUUUCGUAAUUGGAAUGAGUACAAUUUAAAUCUCUUAACGAGGAACAAUUGGAGGGCAAGUCUGGUGCCAGCAGCCGCGGUAAUUCCAGCUCCAAUAGCGUAUAUUAAAGUUGUUGCAGUUAAAAAGCUCGUAGUUGAAUUUCGGGAUUAGUACGCUGGUCGUGCCUCGGUAUGUACUGGUGUUACUGGUUCCUACCUUCUGACGAACCGUCAUGUCAUUAAUUUGGUGUGGCGGGGAAUCAGGACUGUUACUUUGAAAAAAUUAGAGUGUUUAAAGCAGGCUCGCGCUUGAAUACAUUAGCAUGGAAUAAUGAAAUAGGACGUUCGAUCCUAUUUUGUUGGUUUCUAGGAUUGACGUAAUGAUUAAUAGGGAUAGUUGGGGGCAUUAGUAUUCAAUUGUCAGAGGUGAAAUUCUUGGAUUUAUUGAAGACUAACUACUGCGAAAGCAUUUGCCAAGGAUGUUUUCAUUAAUCAAGAACGAAAGUUAGGGGAUCGAAGACGAUCAGAUACCGUCGUAGUCUUAACCAUAAACUAUGCCGACUAGGGAUCGGAUGAUGUUAUUUUUAAUGACUCAUUCGGCGCCUUACGGGAAACCAAAGUGUUUGGGUUC